CAGAAACUACAAAGGAAUUGACGGGGCCCGCACAAGCGGUGGAGUAUGUGGUUUAAUUCGAUGCAACGCGAAGAACCUUACCUGGUCUUGACAUCCCGGAGACCCUUAGGAAACUAGGGGUGCUUCCAUCUGGAAGAAUCUGGAGACAGGUGCUGCAUGGCUGUCGUCAGCUCGUGUCGUGAGAUGUUGGGUUAAGUCCCGCAACGAGCGCAACCCUUGCCUUUAGUUGCCAGCAGUUCGGCUGGGCACUCUAAAGGGACUGCCGGUGUUAAACCGGAGGAAGGUGGGGAUGACGUCAAGUCCUCAUGGCCUUUAUGACCAGGGCUACACACGUACUACAAUGGCCGAUACAAAGGGCAGCGACACUGCGAGGUGAAGCCAAUCCCGUAAAAUCGGUCUCAGUCCGGAUUGGAGUCUGCAACUCGACUCCAUGAAGUUGGAAUCGCUAGUAAUCGUGGAUCAGCAUGCCACGGUGAAUACGUUCCCGGGCCUU
rnacentral:rRNA from 1 species